AUUGAACGCUGGCGGCAGGCCUAACACAUGCAAGUCGAGCGAGUGGCGGACGGGUGAGUAAUGUCUGGGGAUCUGCCUGAUAGAGGGGGAUAACUACUGGAAACGGUGGCUAAUACCGCCUACUAUCGGAUGCACCCAUAUGGGAUUAGCUAGUAGGUGGGGUAAAGGCUCACCUAGGCGACGAUCUCUAGCUGGUCUGAGAGGAUGCUCAGCCACACUGUGACUGAGACACGGCCCAGACUCCUACGGGAGGCAGCAGUGGGGAAUAUUGCACAAUGGGCGCAAGCCUGAUGCAGCCAUGCCGCGUGUAUGAAGAAGGCCUUAGGGGUGUAAAGUACUUUCAGCGGGGAGGCGUUACCCGCAGAAGAAGCACCGGCUAACUCCGUGCCAGCAGCCGCGGUAAUUC
rnacentral:rRNA from 1 species